CGCUUCAGCAGAAAUCUGUCCCAAUGUACCAUCACGGACCAUUCCAAGAGGAAGCAUUUCCAUAAUGAACUUAUGAUUGAAGUUCUGGAGAGGCCCCACAAGCAGGUCCAGUUCCAAAGACAGAGGGACUUGCGGCCAGAGGAAAGGCAUGGUGAGAGCCAAGAAGAAAGGCUCAAGCUGGCUGCACAGCUUGAGGACAGGGUUUCAACAUGGGAGCAGGCACUUGCUUCACAGUUCCUGGAACAGGAAUGGCAGCUAAGAGAGACGGACAGAGCUCAGCAGAAAGAGCUGUUUGGCUCGUAUCAGUAAUGACCGUAAGAAGAGUUUAAGACAGUCUCUUAAUAUUCAACAAGAAGCUGAUGGAUGAAGGAAACCAUACUGAUUUACAUCACUUGGAUGGGAUGAAACUCACACCACGUCCACAAGAUGCACAGAUGGCAAUUUCAGAUCACUGGCUCGCACCCAUCCCUUUUCCUUAUAUAUUAAGUUGACACUGGAAGCACAAGGAAUAUGAUGAUAGACUUCAUCUUCAGUAAGUCAGUGUCCAACCCUUGGAGACGGUGAAAUAUCAUCUAUAAAGAGGACCAAGAGGACAGGAAUGACAGCAAAUGACAUGCCACUAGAAGAUUCCAGUGCUUCCCAAAUGCUACCCUCGCUAAAUUUGAUUGGAUGAGAUCAGAAGUGGAAUGCGGAUCUCUACUUUUAUGUCUCACAGUGAUUUACUGAAAGCAAACCACAGCAUGUUUCACUAAGUUUUGGCAACACUUACCAUGUAUGUAUGUUAACACAUACAACUAUGUAGCAUCCUUUUUAGGACCAACUUGAAGUGCAGUAGGGGUUUGAGCAAAGAGAGGGUUUGGUGUCCUCUCCCAUUUCUUCAUGCUCCCACCAACCCACUCAC